UACGAAAGGGGCUAGCGUUGCUCGGAAUCACUGGGCGUAAAGGGUGCGUAGGCGGGUCUUUAAGUCAGGGGUGAAAUCCUGGAGCUCAACUCCAGAACUGCCUUUGAUACUGAAGAUCUUGAGUUCGGGAGAGGUGAGUGGAACUGCGAGUGUAGAGGUGAAAUUCGUAGAUAUUCGCAAGAACACCAGUGGCGAAGGCGGCUCACUGGCCCGAUACUGACGCUGAGGCGCGAAAGCGUGGGGAGCAAACAGG
rnacentral:rRNA from 1 species